AACCCAUGGUGAGGGCACCAUCUCAAUAGAUCCUCGUAUCUCUCUCAUGCAUCAUAUAAAGUCUCUAAUCGAUCUGAACAAAAGAAAAGAUGUCAUUCCUCAACUU
rnacentral:snoRNA from 1 species